rnacentral:rRNA from 1 species
AAUGAACGCUGGCGGCAGGCCUAACACAUGCAAGUCGAACGGGAUCUUCUGAUCUAGUGGCGGACGGGUGAGUAACGCGUGGGAACGUACCCUUUGCUUCGGAAUAGCCUCGGGAAACUGGGAGUAAUACCGAAUGUGCCCUUCGGGGGAAAGAUUUAUCGGCAAAGGAUCGGCCCGCGUUAGAUUAGCUAGUUGGUGGGGUAAUGGCCCACCAAGGCGACGAUCCAUAGCUGGUUUGAGAGGAUGACCAGCCACACUGGGACUGAGACACGGCCCUGACUCCUACGGGAGGCAGCAGUGGGGAAUCUUAGACAAUGGGGGCAACCCUGAUCUAGCCAUGCCGCGUGAGUGAUGAAGGCCUUAGGGUUGUAAAGCUCUUUCGCUGGGGAAGAUAAUGACUGUACCCAGUAAAGAAGCCCCGGCUAACUCCGUGCCAGCCGCCGCGGUAA